UGAUUGGCUCAAAGGACAACUUACACAGGC
rnacentral:piRNA from 1 species